GAGGAAAAGGUACAUCAAAUAAAUUUAAAUUCAAAUUUGAAUUGCCACAAAAUGCUCAUGGUUUGGAACCCAGGGCUCUGAAAAUAAAACUACUUCCUCAACCAUAAAAAAUAAAUCUGGAAUGUUACUCUAACAUAGCCAAAAUUUCAGUCCUAUUAUUCUCCCUUUUUGUUUAUAUAUGUGUAUAUAUGCAUAAGGUAUGAGUAUAUGUAUAUGUAUGUAUUAUGUGCUUUCAUAUGUAUGUAUAUAUCCCCAGAAUGGGGAAUGGGGAGAUGAUUUAUUUUUAGUUUAAACAGGAAUUUUGGAUAGCAAAAAGAAAAAAAAAAAUAAACAGGUUUGUUUUCUGUUCCUUUGAAGGAAAAAAAAAGAAAAGAAGAAAUACAUCCCAAACCAGUUGGACUGCAUUCUUGGUAACAUAUUACCUAUUUCCUGACACCAGAAAGUAAAAGUACAUACCUUAUAUAAAGAACUAUGGGUUAUAAAUGUGCUAUUUAUAGCAUGGUGUCCCUGGGAUUCAAGAAUCAAAAAAAGAAAAAUCAUGUCCAUCACGUUACCCGUGAAGAAAUGCAAUUUCCUACAAAAUCAACUCAGAGUCAUUGAAUUCUAGUUUCAAGACAAAAGUCAAGAAGACUGGU
rnacentral:lncRNA from 1 species